rnacentral:rRNA from 1 species
CGUAACAAGGUAGCUGUAGGUGAACCUGCUGAUGGAUCACUAACGUGUUACGCAACUGGUUUUUUGCUAUCGCCCCGGUGUUAGCAAAAGAUUGAAUUUUAACGGCUUGUUUGGGUAUCUGUGGUUGGCUGAGCAGUUGUGUUACACGACCGUGGCUGCAACGACACCGACCGGCACGGAGGAAUCUCAAUUUUUGAGCUCUUCUGAGAAUUGAAGACCCGAGAGGGCGCCCAAGAAACACAUUCAUUUUACAUUUUUACAAAAGCUUUCGGAGCUUGUGAAAACGAAUAAGCUAUAUCGGUGGAUCACUUGGCUCGUAGAUCGAUGAAGAACGCAGUGAAUUGCGUUAAGGAUCACGAAUUACAGAUAUUAUGAGUGACAUGUUUUCGAAUGCAAAUUGCAUCGUUGGGCUUUGCCCAUCGGAGUAUCCGACUCAGGGUGUGUACCCAAAAGAAUCAAAUUCAACACAAUGCUCUUAAUAGAGAUUGUGUUGAAAAUCGGCGUCCUGACAAGUUGGGGCCCUAGUUGAGGUGUUGCUGUCUGUUGGUUGUUGUCUCACACGUAUGUUUUCUUCAAUGAUUUCACUCUUUGUUGAACACGUGGGCCCUCAUCCGACAACGCUGCAGCAGUCGCACACCAAACAUUGGAAUCCACCUGAGUUGUGUACGAUCACCCGCCGAACUUAAGCAUAUCAGUAAGCGGAGGAAAAGAAACCAACAGGGAUUUCCUUAGUAACGGCGAGUGAAA